ACCAGGGGCGGCGCCAGCGUCCCGGACCGGGCGGGCGGGCAGCUGGGGAGUGCUUACUUUCACUCCAUGACUGCGCUUCACAUGAACAGAUUUAUGAUUGGCUAAUGAAUAUACUAAUGUCACAAUGUAAGUGCUGUGUUAUCCAUGGAUGGACCAGUCUCAUCUGUACUGGUACAGUAUUCCCCCCGUUUGGCGCGACCUGUCUCCGCCCCUGUUCACCCGUGACGUCGCUAGCGUCAGUCCGACGGCGGCAUUAUCGCGCGCGUGGUCAGGCAUUGACGAAACCCGGCCGGAGGUGGAGCGGCCGCCGCACGUGAGCAGAGUGUGUACUGUGCACUGUGCAGUACAGGGUGCAGCGGACUGCGGGUCAGUGAAUACUGCAGCCGAUUGCGACUCAGUGGGCAGUGUCAUGGCUCGCCUGACCCAGUGAAUAUUGCAGCGCGCUGCUGAGUGUGAACAGCGGAGCGACUCGCUGAGUGGACGGUGAAGCGCGCCGCUGAGUGAACUGCCCGGCGCUGAACAUGAAUGAGCUAACUGUCCUGGAUAAGCAGGGCAAGCCGAUUGAACCGCUGGUAGCCAGGUGCGGUCACGCCGCUCACUUGGUGCCAGACACCCUGCUCGUGACUGCGGCUCUCAUCAACGACCAUCCGAUAGGCAAGACUGUUGAGGCGCGCUGCGAAGGUAUCUUUGACAAGCUUCGCUGGCUGACACUGAGGCCGCUGAUGCGGGCACUGCUGGAAAACAACGAUGUUGACGGUGCCAAAUACUACUGUGCCUGUCAACCGAAGGAGUAUCCACCUAAUCAGCGGAGAGUUAUGUGCAAGGUGAAAAACCAGCCCUAUGAGCCGGACAAGUUCGUCGAGGACGCUGAAAGCAGCAAGCCACUCGAUGUUCAGAAUCUGGAUCGGUACGGUGCCAGUGCACAGGGUUUGUAUGCCGUCAAAUACGACGACAAAGGAGCCAGCGGCGACCACGACAUGCUAGCAACCGACCACGACAUGAUGGUGGAGUUUGGUCCAAUCAAGUGGACGGACGCUGUGAUGGAAGCAGAUGAGCCGAAGAAAAUCGACAAAGAAGAUGGGCCACUGGUGUGGUGCAGAAUGACUGACUCAUCCGGCUUCGUGACACUGCACUGGGCAAGGACCUCCGAGUGUGAGCACGACAAUCCGCUCGAUGCGAUGAUACCCAGCGCCUUCGGUAGGGUCAUGGAGGACUUCCGACGGAUGCGGUUCACGGAUAACCCGCUGGAGCCGCCCGGCCCGGGCGACUAUGUCCGCUGGCCGGACGAUGUGGAGGCCGAAGUGUACGACGUGGCAUGCCUCCACGCGCCUUGGUGGCCAGACAAGGAGGAGUUUCUCCACCGUGACGGCAAUUUUCCAUCAAAGGCGGCGCGACACGAUAUCUGCAACUUCGGCGUGCAUCUGAUACCGGUCACUAGACCUGACCGGUACCCCGAGGACAUAUCCUGGUGCUGGCAGGUCUGCUUCGCUCGGGCCAUGGUGGCAGGCAUUCGUUGUCUGAGUGCAAUGCAGCUAGCCACCGCCAGAGCCGUGAGCACCAUGCAGGAUAUCCUGAAAGUGAAGACGCCCCUGAUUACCGACUACAUCACCACCGCUGUGUUCUGGACUGCCCAGGACAAGCCCAGCGACUGCUGGACAGGCGUCACUGCCGGCGUGAAAAUGGUUCUGGAAUGGCUGCAACGACACCUGAAGGAAGGCAAACUGCCCUGCUUCUUCUGGCGCGCCCUGGAUCUGACAGCACACCUCAGCGAGUCUAGACGAGAAGGUAUGAUCAAGACAGUGUGUCUGAUGAGGGAUGAUCUGACCAAACUCCUGUUGGCCUGCUGUGACAAAGAGUUCGACCUGGCCGCUCUUCUGGGGGAGGGGAUGGAGCCGCUGACAGAGCGUCAGCUGCGCCGUCAGCUGGCAGGCUACCUGGUCUGUAGGGGCGUGGAUGACAGCAUCAGCGCAAGGCCGUCAGCUCCCUGCUGGGACUGCUGGUUCAAGCACAACUGCCAGGCCAUGAGGCUCCCGUCCGACCCCCUGCUAGUGUACUGGCGCUACCACUGCAUCUCCAGCUCCUACAUCAUGCAGUGUUGCAUGCUGCAGGCUUGGACUGUCUUGGACCGGGCUGACUUUGUGGUAAAGGAGCCAUCUGAUGCACCGGACGGAUUUCUCAAGACGCUGAGCGCCUCGCCCGUCAUGGCCGCGCUGAACAACUCGGACCUGAAGCUUGUGGUUGGUCCGGAUCCGGACGAAGUGGUCGGCUGGUGCCACAGGCAGUUGCAGCUUCCAGAGGACAAGCGAGCGGUAGCUAAAACCGUCGACGGGAAGACGUUGCGCAUGACCGCCGAGCUGGACACACCGCUGGGCCGUGCCGAGCUGCUGCUACAGCCGGAACUGCUACUGAUGGUCCUCAACAAGGCUGUGGAUCGCAAGGAGGAAGAGUGGCAGACGCGGGACCGCAAGCGGGCCAAGGCAUGGAAAGGGAGAUACCCCAAAGUGGUCUCAAAGUUAAAAAUCAAGAGGCGGGUGCUCGGCUUCAGUGGUCGCGAAAACCAGUACUGGGUCGAAUUUAACGAGCCAGGGCUGGCCGAAAGAGAGCGCAAAGGCAUCGAACGCCAGUAUCGACAAGAGAUAUUCCACAUGCUCAGGGGCAUCAAGAUCCUGGACAACUAUAACCAUCCGGGCCUCUGGAUCAGGAGCAACCCCCACGCACCGGGAACCUUCAUCAACGACAACCACAACGAAGCGCGUCGCUACAACGGUCGCGACAACUGGGGUGUGCGCCAACUGGUCAUCCGAGAACCGCCUGAAAAGUCCUGUGAGGAGAUGGGUAUGCAGGUGGUGGACUGAGUGUGGAUGGUCGGCAGCAGUCACACGACCACAAGGAGCCCAGAUUCCGUGGAUGAUACAUGUAGUCAGACAUCUUACCGUGAGGACCUGGUGACAUGUCAGACCCCAAGCAAGAUCAGCAGGGCCGGCUGGACCGACCAGAUACCGCCGAGUAUCGGACUGUGCUAGGACUACCAGGAGCAGGCUCAGUGGGUGCAGGAGAAGUGCACUGUCAGACGUCUUUGGAACUCUACCGAACACAGAGAAAACCAGGAUGAUGUUGGACUGCAUGAGGCGCACAAAGCUUGAAAGCGGACAUUGAUAACGCUCAACGAACGCUUCCUUACCUGUCUGGAGGUGAAGUUUGUUCCCAAACUGACAAGCCAGCGUAUAUUCUUUGCGGCGAACGAGCCAGUUUUCUGCUAGAGCAGUGACGACAUGCAUGCAAUUGAUGAUUUUCACGGCUGUGGCAAGCCUCAUUCUGUCCUUGGCUGCUUUCGUUGGACACCAGUGUGCGAGUAUUGAUUGUGUAUUGUGAUAUGAAAUGACUCGUGUAAGCCACCGUGUGUGGCUAGAAGACCUUUCCUAAGCGUCCUGUUGGCAGGAAGUCGAACCGCAUCAGUUGCUUGCGGUCUUGUGACCAAACAUUGUUGUGUCGCAUUUGUGCAAACUAUUAGAGAUGCUGGUGCGUCAAUAAGUGUUAUUUUGUGACCGCUCACUCGCCCCGUGAGAAGGCGAGAGCACGGUGCUGGGCCAAUCAAGUGGUUGGACUGUUGUGUGCUUUGUUGGCUUCUAAGAUUACCAGCUCAAACUGUGUUCAAUGUUUUAAUGCUCAUCCCUGACCCCAUAUUGUGCACUGCACAUUGCUGCAUGACUAUAUAUGGCCUUGGCUGCAUGAAUAUAGCUCGCAACGGCAAG
rnacentral:misc_RNA from 1 species